UGAGUACGAGAUGCUACGGCAUCGAAGCAGUCUAUGUCAUACUUCCAAGAAAAGCUUGCAAUGUCAUAAACAAAUAAUGCCUGUACCAUAACCGACACAGGUGGGUAGGUAGAGUAUACUAAGGGGCGCGAGAUAACUCUCUCUAAGGAACUCGGCAAAAUGACUCCGUAACUUCGGGAGAAGGAGUGCCUUAUUUUUAUAAGGUUGCAAUAACAAGAUCCAAGCAACUGUUUACCAAAAACACAGGUCUCCGCUAAGUCGUAAGACGAUGUAUGGGGGCUGACGCCUGCCCAGUGCCAGAAGGUUAAAGAAGUUGGUUAGCAUUAGCGAAGCUGAUAACUGAAGCCCUGGUGAACGGCGGCCGUAACUAUAACGGUCCUAAGGUAGCGAAAUUCCUUGUCGGGUAAGUUCCGACCCGCACGAAAGGCGUAAUGAUUUGGAUACUGUCUCGGAGAGGGGCUCGGUGAAAUAGACUUGUCUGUGAAGAUGCGGACUACCUGCACCUGGACAGAAAGACCCUAUGAAGCUUUACUGUAACUUGAGAUUGAAAUUGGACUUUAUCUGCGCAGUAUAGGUGGGAGACGUUGAAAAUAUUCUUGCGGGAAUAUUGGAGUCAUCAGUGAGAUACCACUCUUAUAAUGUUAGAUUUCUAACUUUGUAUCAUUAUCUGGUCAAAGAACAGUUUCAGGCGGGCAGUUUGACUGGGGCGGUCGCCUCCCAAACGGUAACGGAGGCGCACAAAGGUUUCCUCUGAACGUGUAGAAAUCGUAUCUAGAGUGUAAAGGCAUAAGGAAGCUUGACUGUGAGACCUACAAGUCGAGCAGGGACGAAAGUCGGUCUUAGUGAUCUGACGGUGCUGAGUGGAAAGGCCGUCACUCAACGGAUAAAAGUUACUCUAAGGAUAACAGGCUGAUCUCCCCCAAGAGUUCACAUCGACGGGGAGGUUUGGCACCUCGAUGUCGGCUCAUCGCAUCCUGGGGCGGUAGUACGUCCCAAGGGUUGGGCUGUUCGCCCAUGAAAGCGGUACGCGAGCUGGGUUCAGAACGUCGUGAGACAGUUCGGUCCAUAUCCGGUGUAGGCGUUAGAAUAUUGAGAGGAGCCUUCUUUAGUACGAGAGGACCGAGAAGGACAUACCUCUGGUGUACCAGUUAUCGUGCCAACGGUAAACGCUGGGUAGCCAUGUAUGGAGAGGAUAACCGCUGAAGGCAUCUAAGUGGGAAGCCCACCUCAAGAUAAG
rnacentral:rRNA from 1 species